rnacentral:rRNA from 1 species
GGAUAACGCUGGCGAGAUGCUUACACAUGUCAAAGUCGUGACGAGAAUUUUCUAAUUCAAUGUGGCGGACGGGUGAGUACAGUAAGAAUUUGCCUUUAGGAGGGGGACAACAACUGGAAACGGUUGCUAAUACCCCAUAUGCUUUCGAGUGAAAUGGAUUUUUCCGCCUACGAGAGAAGCUUGCGGCUGAUUAGCUUGUUGGUGAGGUAAUGGCUUACCAAGGCGACGAUCAGUAUCUGGUUUGAGAGGACUGAUCAGACACACUGGAACUGAGACACGGUCCAGACUCCUACGGGAGGCAGCAGUGGGGAAUUUUCCGCAAUGGGCGAAAGCCUGACGGAGCGAUCUCGCGUGAGUGGAUGACAGGCCUAUGGGUUGUAAACCUCUUUUUUCAGGGAGGAAUAAAAUGACGUGUACCUGAAGAAUAAGCAUCGGCUAACUCCGUGCCAGCAGCCGCCGGUAAGACCGAGGAUGCAACGUGUUAUCCGGAAUCACUGGGCGUAAAGCGUCUGUAGGUGGUUUACUCAAAUCAACCUGUUUAAAUCUUGAAGCUCACACUUCCAAAAUCGCAGUCGAACACUAUUAGACUAGAGUAUCAGACAGGGGUAAAGGGACUUUCCCAGUGGGAGACGGUGACAUGCGUAGAGAUUGGAAAAGAACACCGAUUGGCCAAGGCCCUUUUACUGGGGGCUCAAUUCACUGGACCCACUCCAGAGAAACAAAAACGCUCAGGGGUUCGCCAACAAUGGGGGAUUUAAGAUCACCCCCAGAAGUCCUUAAGACGUUAGACAACUUGGGUUAUAAUUGUUGCAACCAGAUCGAACCUGUGCAGAUAUUAAAAGCUUAAACGACGUUAAGACCUCCCCGCCUCGCGCAACGUAUGUCGACGAGAGUCCAACCUCAAAGAGAUUGA